ACAUCGAUAGCUCAGUGGCAUGGCAGAGCGGUGGGGCGUUAACCCACGCGGCCCGGGUUCGAUUCCCGGUCGAUGUA